GCUGGGUGUGGUGGUGCACACUUGUAAUCCCAGCUGCUCAGGAGGCUGAGUCAGGAGGAUUGUGAGUUCAAAGCCAGCCUCAGAAAAAAUGAGGCCCUAAGCAACUCAGAGAGACUCUGUUUCUA
rnacentral:sRNA from 1 species